GGUCUGCAUCGUCCCCAGGGUCCACCGGUGUCCCAGCUUGUGGUCCCUGCAAUCAGAGGGGAUGCUGUGGAGAUGGCAGACCAGAGCCCAAGGGGCCGAAUUUGUGGUUGGUGAAUUGAAGAAUAUUCACUCUCAGAACCAGUCCCCAUCCCUCAGGAGCCUGCAGUGAGAUAGCAGGUCUAAAGAAUAAACGGAUGAUUUCAUAUAGAUCCUGUCCUCAGAGAAAUAGAAUAUAGAAUAUAGAAAAACCCACUGAAAACCUGCUGUGAAGGAUUAGAGAACUAUAGAGAGGAGGACACAGGCAAAGGCGAAGGAUCAGAAGGAGAAGAGGUGCACAUGGGAUUCGCUAGAGGCAAGUGAACGGAAACCGAAAUCGGCUUUGAUAUGGAUGGAUCUGGUUAUAACACUGAUGCAUGCUCACAAAAGUCGAAGCUGGAGAAGCAUAAACUGAAAGGUGGUGUUCAAAUCUGGUACAUAGAAAUUGAGCACAGGCCUAUGCUCUCACAGUGAAUUAUCCUGUGUCCUUCCCAAGCCUAUGUUUUGUUUUUCUACUUCUAUUAGCUCUUUAUGUGUGAGGACAUCAGUCCUGCUCUGUUGUCACAUUUGCAAGUUAAUGUGAUAUCAACCUGUAAGGAAACUUCCCUGCUAAGGGGCGCCAAAUGGGUGGCAUCCUCAGUCAGCAACUGUCUGGUCUGCAGAAACUCUGGAGGUCUUCCUGGAAGUGGUGAUUUCCUGAUGCCGGGCAGCAGGGCUGUAGAACCAUGAAGCCCCUUGCUGCAUGGUCCUAUGAGAGUAACAAAAAUAAGUGUGUGUGUUCUAAUAUUUGAAAAGAAAAAUGCAGAA